rnacentral:lncRNA from 1 species
UCAUACUGAUCAUCAUUCAUUAGUAAAUUAAGAUACAAUACUAAGAUGGCAUCUUCUAAAGUAUCUUCCAUGCUUCUCUUUCUCCUCCUUCUCGUUCUUGUGUUUCCCCAUAUGGAUAAAGCCCUUGGUGAAAAAAGACAGCUCCACGAACUUAGUUAGUCUUUUUGUCUUUAAAUAUAUAAAGUCAUAGCUAUUUACUCUAUUAUUUUGAUCUAUUUAGAAAUGUUUUGAACUUUUUUUUUCUUUAAUUUAGCUUGGUUUUAGUUCACAACUAACUAUAUCACAUUAAUUUUUAUAAACAGAAGAUAAACCAUUGUAGUUUUGUUUCCUGUCUUGUUUCGUUCAGACCGAAGUUUAUUGUGAUAGAUGACGAAAUAAAACAAUAUAUAUCUAUUUAAGUUGGGAUUAUGCGAAUUGAUAGACAAAUGUCCACUUUACCAAAACUUGGCGUUGUAGUAAUUAAUUCGUUAAGUGGUUUUGGUGUAGAAGGCACAGAGCAUCCCGAUCAACUGAUGACGGUUGGAAGGAGCCUUCUCUUUCGCAUCCCUCCAUGCCCACCGUCCUUAUGUAAGC